CGAUUUUAGUUCCAUAAAAAUAGAGGCGAACACCGCUGUUCAUUCGUAUGGUUUAAAAUGGCCGCGACCUCGUGUUCGGGAUACGAAUGGCGGCCACCCAGCGUUCAUCAAUUAAGCUGCGGUUAACCGCAGCUUCAGGGAGGUUAAUCGCCGGCACACUCCAGCUCCCAGGUGGUCCAGUCAUUCGUACGGUUGUUCGGUAGAUUGAAACUACCGAACAACCGGCAGAAAAGCACGAAUACAGCUUUUCUGCAUGCAAAAAUAAAG